GUCCGGUCUGGGACAGGAAGUCUUUGAGGGACUCACGAUGUUUCUGGCUGUUGCGGUGCUGUUCUAUGUCAGCAAUUGGAUGC
rnacentral:tRNA from 1 species